rnacentral:lncRNA from 1 species
UAAAAACUUAUCCAAUAAAAAAUGGUUCAAACUCAUUCUGAACUCAUUGACUCCAAUUUAUGAGUUCGCCUCUACUAGCAGGUAUAAUAGAGCGUGACCUGCUUUAUUCAAUAGUGUAACGAAGACGAGCUACUUCCGGAGUUUACAAUCUUAAUAAGCAAGUUGCCUUAUUAUUUGCACCUCAUCAAGUUGCCUUGGUUCAUCUCUCUUGGUAUUACUUUGAUCUCAUUGCCUAGCUAUAUCAUAUCUCAACUCUUCUUGUUGUGUAAAAUCCUACAAAAAUCAUAUAAAUGUGAUCAGUCAUCAGUUAAUUAAUGAAGUCUCUUAAUAUCUACACUAUAUAUAAAAUAAGGAUCACUCAAAUGUUUUUUCAUUUUGGAUAUUUUGCACAUAUUCUUAGAUACUAUAAUACAAUUUUCAUGCUCUAACUUUUUUCUUCUCAAGUGCUGAACCAUGGGCUUUGAGUUUGAUGAACUUGAAUUUUAAUUCAAAUUCGGUCUUAAACUUGAAUGUUUAAAACAUGUCAAAAAAAUCCCUUUUUAAGUUAAUUAUACGUUCUUCAGAGUUCUCUCUUGCUGUCUUUUGUUACUUCUUAUGUUGUUAGGCCUCUGUUGGGGGACUCCUACUUGGAAGAAAUAUCACUGUGUUGUAGACAAACUCUUCUACUUCCAUUUAAUUAGCUCACAUGUAUCAUCGACCAAUUAUAUUUAUAUUACAACUAGUGUACCCUAUUUCAAUAAAUACAAUCUUCUUUAAAAAAAGAUCACAUAAAUAUUAUAUUAAAAAUUAAAUUUGGAGUUAUAAAAUAAAAGUGUCAUGAAAUAGUGAGUAUUGAUCCUAUAUAGCUAAUUUUUAAAUCCUGAAUAUUGGGAAAAUAACUUAAAUUACAAUUAUGUUUAAUGUAAAUAUUUUUUAAAGAGUAAAAAAGGCGAACCACAUUUCGCUAAGGGGUUUCGUAUUUUUAAUAUAGUAUAGAUAAAGUUGUAUAAUCGAAUAUCAUUGCCAAAAACACAUGACUUGCAUGCUUGACAUGGUUUGAUUGGCCUUUUUAUCUAUUUGGCACACAACAUAAUGUUAGGGAUCUUACAAAAAUAGCCAACUGGAUUAUCUGCUUACUUUUCCUUAUCGAUAUAUAUAGAUUAUACACUAAUUAUAUAUAGUUGUACACAUAUUAUUCAUAAACAAUAUAUAUAGAGAGAGAUUCCCGGCUAUUCUAAUUUAAGCUAUGAGACUAUUUAGGUUAAUAUCUCUAUCAGAUUGUCGUACUAAUGGGCUUUGGGCUAAUGAAUUGAGUUUUAAAAAGGUUAAAAUAACACGAGCUAGCUAGUUUUCGGAUUGGUCAUUCAAAAAUAGCCAGUAAUUGCAAAGUCAUUGAAAAAUAGUCACUAUUUUGCUAUAAUAGGAACCGGUCCAGUAUAAUAUACUGAACAUUCGUGCACCUAUGUAUGAACUUCCAGCAUAUUAUGCUGGAACUCCAAUACGCGGGAAGUUCUAGCAUAAUAUACGUUCUUCAGAGUUCUCUCUUGCUUUCUUUUGUUAUACUUCUUACGUUGUUAGGCCUCUGUUGGAGGACUCCUACUUUGAAGAAAGAUCAUCGUGUUGUAGACAAACUUUUCUACUUUCAUUUAAUUUGCUCACACGUACCAUCGACCAAUUACAUUUAUAUUACAAUAAAGCUGUAUAAUCGAAUAUCAUUGCCAAAAACACGUGACUUGCGUGCUUGAAAGAAUUUGAUUGGCCUUUUUAUCUAUUUGGCACACAACAUAAGGUUAGGGAUAUUACAAAAAUAGCCAACCGGAUCUGCUUACUUUUCUUAAUCGAUAUACAUAAAUUAUACACUAAGUGUAUACAAUUUUACACAUAUUAUUCAUGAAUCUUGAAUAUAUAUANNNNNNNNNNNNNNNNNNNNNNNNNAUUAGGCCAAAGAAGUCAUUUUCCUAGAGGCUUAGUUUGGUGCCACGUGUCAAAUGACGUGGCAUGCUAAGUCAAUUGGAAGAGCCAAUAGGAUCGUGCCACGUGUCAAAAUAACAAAGCAUGCCAAUUCAAAUUAAAGGUCCAAUGAAACCGUGCCAUAUGUGCAAGUGACAUGUUCUGGCCAAUCAAACGUGACCUUGUCACACUUCAAUUUGAUUGGUCGGAAAGAGUUCUUAUCAUAACUCUUCCUUACCACAACUAUAAAUAGGGGUCUUCAUAACACAGAAAAGGCACCAGAAAUUAUAACAAGAAGCAAGAGAGCUCGUGGAUUCAAGCUUCAAGCAAUCAAGUUCAAGUUCAAGCUCAAAAACGAAGAACAAAUCAAGAUUCAAAGAGUACGAGUUCAAAUCAAAGUUCGUGCUAGCUGAAUUCAAGAUCAUCGUUCGUGACAACAAAUAUAUAUUCAAGAUCAAGCUCAAGGGUUGUUGAAUUUAUUUACUAUUGGAAAGAAGAAUCGGAGGAUUCAUAGAGAUUGUACACUCAUAUUACUUGAAAUCAAAUACUACGAUUGUUGCAAUAUUUUUUCGGUCUUCAUUUUAUUUUCUUGACGCAAUUUAUUGUCUACAAAUUCUGGCAUGCCCAGUGGGACAAUCUCUACCUUUUAUCUCAACUUUUCAA